AGACAGCGCGCUAGCGGAUCUAGUCAUCUAUACAUACAUGGUCGGCAAGUCUGGUAGCAUCUCUGGCUGCUGUUGACCUAGUUUUUGGAGUAAAACACGGUGGAAGCUGAAUUAGUGAGGAUGACUCCUGCUCCUGUCAUCUCUAAGCUCCUCACACAUCUUUACCUGCACAUGAGGAAAAUCACUCCUGUAGAAUGCAGUGGUUCAUCAGAACCUCUGGGGAUGUCCUGUGGAUUCUGUGGAUCCUGUGGGUUGCAGGGUGGGUCCUACCUAGACCAGGCUGAUCCUGGACCAUCCCACAGAUGCUCCAUCAGAUGUGGAUGUGGGGAGUGUGGAACCCAGAUGUUCAGAGGGAGAUGAUGCCACAUCUGGUCCAGCUGAUGGAAGGUCUUGAAGUUCUCUGACUGGCCUCGACUGAAGAUGGUCGUCUCACUGGAUUUAAGAUGCACAAUGAGGGACGUCUGCAGAGACUGAGAAAGAGUCUCACCACAUCCUGACAUGAGGAAAAAGACUUUACUGAAGACUACAAUGAGAAAAACUAUCAGACAGCAGACGGCUGCAUUCAAGGUGAGCUCUGAACAUUUGAUCUGGAACAGGAAUUCAAUAACGGCAGCAUGAGCUUCAUUUCAGUCUGUAGCUGCUGAAUUCAUGGAUGAAUCAUCUGGCACUAGAGAGGAAGACCAUCAAACAUCCACGUCAGCUGAUGGAGGUCCAAGAGUCUCACCAAACAAACAACCUACAGAGUGAAGACCUCUAACCUGAUUGGACGGCUUCCUAUUCAGCCACAUGUGUGAACAAAUGCCUCUAAGUUAAUUUGUUUUCUAAAAUAAAUCUAGUUUGAGUCCUAAUCUAUGCC